AGGACACGCAGUGGAUCUGGGAGUCCAAAGCCGACGGCGCGUUCGCCAUCUCCCCAGACGACGGCGAGCCCCUCGGCCGCGGCGUCGAGAUCAACAUCUACCUCAAAGAAGAAGCGCAGGAGUACCUGGACGAGGACAAGCUCAAGGAGCUCGUGGGCAAGUACAGCGAGUUCAUCAACUUCCCCAUCUACCUCUGGCAGUCGAGCGAGGUGGAGGAGGAGGUGCCCGUGGACGAGGUCGUCGAGGGCGAGGAGGACGACGACGAAGACGCGGACGCGUCGGACGACGACGAAGAGGACUCCGCCGCGGCCGACGACGACGACGAAGACGCGUCCGUGGAGGACGACGACGACGACGACGCGGACGAGGACGAGGACGAGGACAAGCCGAAGACGAAGAAGGUGAAGAAGACGGUCUGGGACUGGGAGCUCCUCAACGACUCCAAGGCGAUUUGGCUUCGCAACGCCGCCGACGUGGAAGAGGACGAGUACGCCAAGUUUUUCAAGGCGCUGUCCAAGUCCGAGGACGCGCCGCUGUCGUACAC
rnacentral:lncRNA from 1 species